rnacentral:rRNA from 1 species
CCUACGGGGGCAGCAGUGGGGAAUAUUGGACAAUGGGCGAAAGCCUGAUCCAGCCAUGCCGCGUGUGUGAAGAAGGCCUUCGGGUUGUAAAGCACUUUCAGUGGGGAAGAAAGCCUUGGGGCUAAUACCCUCGAGGAAGGACAUCACCCACAGAAGAAGCACCGGCUAACUCCGUGCCAGCAGCCGCGGUAAUACGGAGGGUGCGAGCGUUAAUCGGAAUUACUGGGCGUAAAGCGCGCGUAGGCGGUCUGAUAAGCCGGUUGUGAAAGCCCCGGGCUCAACCUGGGAACGGCAUCCGGAACUGUCAGGCUAGAGUGCAGGAGAGGAAGGUAGAAUUCCCGGUGUAGCGGUGAAAUGCGUAGAGAUCGGGAGGAAUACCAGUGGCGAAGGCGGCCUUCUGGACUGACACUGACGCUGAGGUGCGAAAGCGUGGGUAGCAAACAGGAUUAGAUACCCGGGUAGU